CAGGGGAUCGUAAGACCUUGCGCUUUUAGAGCGGCCGAUGCCUGAUUAGCUAGUUGGUAGGGUAAAAGCCUACCAAGGCAACGAUCAGUAGUUGGUCUGAGAGGACGACCAGCCACACUGGGACUGAGACACGGCCCAGACUCCUACGGGAGGCAGCAGUGGGGAAUUUUGGACAAUGGGCGCAAGCCUGAUCCAGCAAUGCCGCGUGAGUGAAGAAGGCCUUCGGGUUGUAAAGCUCUUUCAGUCGAGAAGAAAAGAUUGUGACUAAUAAUCACAAUUCAUGACGGUACCUAAAGAAGAAGCACCGGCUAACUACGUGCCAGCAGCCGCGGUAAUACGUAGGGUGCAAGCGUUAAUCGGAAUUACUGGGCGUAAAGGGUGCGCAGGCGGCUCUGUAAGUCAGAUGUGAAAUCCCCGGGCUUAACCUGGGAACUGCGUUUGAAACUACAGGGCUAGAGUGUAGCAGAGGGAGGUGGAAUUCCAUGUGUAGCAGUGAAAUGCGUAGAGAUAUGGAAGAACAUCGAUGGCGAAGGCGGCCUCCUGGGUUAACACUGACGCUCAUGCACGAAAGCGUGGGGAGCAAACAGGAUUGGAUACCCUGGUAGUCCACGCCCUAAACGAUGUCAACUAGUUGUCGGGUCUAAAUAGACUUGGUAACGUAGCUAACGCGUGAAGUUGACCGCCUGGGGAGUACGGUCGCAAGAUUAAAACUCAAAGGAAUUGACGGGGACCCGCACAAGCGGUGGAUUAUGUGGAUUAAUUCGAUGCAACGCGAAAAACCUUACCUACCCUUGACAUGU
rnacentral:rRNA from 1 species